GGCCUGCGCGGAAGAUGUAACGGGGCUCAAACCACACACCGAAGCUGCGGGUGUCACGUAAGUGACGCGGUAGAGGAGCGUUCUGUAAGCCUGUGAAGGUGAGUUGAGAAGCUUGCUGGAGGUAUCAGAAGUGCGAAUGCUGACAUGAGUAACGACAAUGGGUGUGAAAAACACCCACGCCGAAAGACCAAGGGUUCCUGCGCAACGUUAAUCGACGCAGGGUUAGUCGGUUCCUAAGGCGAGGCUGAAAAGCGUAGUCGAUGGGAAACAGGUUAAUAUUCCUGUACUUCUGGUUACUGCGAUGGAGGGACGGAGAAGGCUAGGCCAGCUUGGCGUUGGUUGUCCAAGUUUAAGGUGGUAGGCUGAAAUCUUAGGUAAAUCCGGGGUUUCAAGGCCGAGAGCUGAUGACGAGUCGUCUUUUAGAUGACGAAGUGGUUGAUGCCAUGCUUCCAAGAAAAGCUUCUAAGCUUCAGGUAACCAGGAACCGUACCCCAAACCGACACAGGUGGUCGGGUAGAGAAUACCAAGGCGCUUGAGAGAACUCGGGUGAAGGAACUAGGCAAAAUGGCACCGUAACUUCGGGAGAAGGUGCGCCGGCUAGGGUGAAGGAUUUACUCCGUAAGCUCUGG
rnacentral:rRNA from 1 species